UGCUUUUUAGACAAUUAUUCCAUGUCACUCCUAGGGCCUUCUCUGUCAUAGAACCUUUCAAGUGGUCUGAAAGUUAUCGCUUUUUGUAGCUUACCCUGCUCAAGGUUUAUAAAAAAGACCCAAAGUGUGUCUUUGCAUUGUGGAUGCACUUAAAAUGUCUCAAAAAUCUUGAAGGCUAGUUUGUGGAUAGGACCUCCACUUAUUAACAUGUGCAAUUCAUCUUUUAUUAACAUAUGGAUAUAUAUAUAAAAGUCUCUAGAUCUAGUUGCUUUUGUAUGUGUAGCCUGUCAAUCUCUUUGCGCAGCAUUGGCAAGAUAACUGAUCUGAGAUGUCUCUUUGGUUAUUUGCUUUGUUCUUAGCCAAUUCUUGUCGAUGUUGAGUUGAGUCAAAGCAAUCCAGAAAUCAUUUCCUCAGGUAACAAAAUAGAGAAUACAGUCCCUAGUCUGGUGGUAGACUUCUUCAAUGAAAAGUUUGCAAAACCGAGGAAUUAGGACUAAUCAGCAUCGGGUCAUGUGACGCUUAGAGAAAUGGUUGCAGUGACUUUGACCGAGAUCAAUGGGGCUACGGCUUUUGAAGUUUCUGGUAUGGUUCAAAUGUGGGAACAAAUAAUUUGAAUAAGGCACUCAGACCAGUGGCAAGUUUGAUGUUUUGUUAGUUUUGCCUGAGAAAUGGCAAUUGUUUUGUGCAACAGAACCCCUUUAAGGAAAAAAAGGGAAAGAAAAAAUGUUUCUUAAUGCAAAAUCUACUAAGCUCAAGGUGGAAAUUAAAUGGUCAUGUUUUUCAAUGUUUGUUUCCUAUGUUA